rnacentral:rRNA from 1 species
GUCUUCUUAGGCCCGAUCUCCCACCCCUGUGUCUACUUUACCAUGUUGCUUCGGCGGGCCUGUUUCUGGAUCUGAUUCAGGACUGUCGGGGGGGGUCUCAACCCCCCUCCUGGCUCGUGCCCGUCGGUGGCCUAUAACAAUCAACUCUUGAUGAAAUGGUGCCGUCUGAGUCUUAAAUUAAAUGAAAAGCAAAACUUUCAACAACGGAUCUCCUGGUUCUGGCAUCGAUGAAGAACGCAGCGAAAUGCGAUAAGUAAUGCGAAUUGCAGAAUUUCCGUGAGUCAUCGAAUCUUUGAACGCACAUUGCGCCCUUUGGUAUUCCGAAGGGCAUGCCUGUUCGAGCGUCAUUAUCACCUCUCAAGCCUUAGGCUUGUUGUUGGACCCCCCCAUUCUUGGUCGGUCGUGAGACCUGACCGGUCCCAAAGACAAUGACGGCGUCCGUAGGGGACCCUCGGUACAAUGAGCUUUUUAACCAGCACGUACCACAGUAUAAAGGACCCCCGGGCCCGGUCUUCCCUUAUAUUUAUCUAAAGGUUGACCUCGGAUCAGGUAGGAAUACCCGCUGAACUUAAGCAUAUCAAUAAGCGGAGGAA